UCUAUAAAAGGAAAGAUUUAAGGAAGCAAAGCACCACUUUAUUUUUUUUUUAAUUUUUUAUUUUUUUAAAGCACCACUUUAUUUAAAAAAUAUUUUAUUUAUUUAUUUAAUAGUGCACAAGCAGGGGGAAGGGGCAGAGGGAGAAGCAGGGUCCCCAUUUAGCAGGGAGCUGGAUGUGGAACUCCAUCCCAGGACCCCAGGAUCAUGACCUGAGCCAAAGGUAGAUGCUUAACUGACUGAGCCACCCAGGUGCCCCAAAGCACCACCUUUCAAAAGAGAGACCACUUUGGAAGGUUAGUGACAGUAUGGCUUGGGGAAAGAAAGUGAAUGGUAGUAUGAGCCCUCUGAAUCAAGUUAGUAUGUAAGAAUCCAAGGAAUCCUGACUACACAGGGAACUAUUCUUAAAGAAAGUAUCCCUCCAUGUAGCGAAGAAAGAGUCCUCACACUGAGAAGCAGGGAAUGCUUUGCUUCCCUGACUCCCCUUCCACAGGCUCCUGCAAGUAGCUGACCCAGGAAAACCCAACUCAUUCAAAUAAGAGUAAAACAGCAGUAUCAAUACAAAGGUAUUAUUACUAAAAAAAAAAAAAAAAAAGUGGAAAGAGAAGUUGUAGAAGUCUGGAUAUGAAGAAAAUUCACCAGAAAAGUGUUGGCACAGACUAAAGGAACAUUUCAAGAUAAAUUUAAAAACUUAAUGAAACAAUUGCAGCUAGGGGGAACCCCUCCCCCCACAAACCAGAAUCAUAGGAACUCAGAGAAAAAACAUCCUGACAACAGAAGGUGAGGGUCAGAUAAUGGGAAUUUGACAUGAGAAUGGACAGAAUUCAAGAAAGGACUGGAAAAAGUCAGGGAUGAAGACUAACUUACAAGAAGUACCAGAGUAGAUCCUGGAACAGUGAGAGAAAUAAAGGAUAAGUGAAGGAAAUGAAAUACCCAAAAAGGAUUAGCAAGAAAGUGGAAGCAAUAAAAGACAAGAAAUGGGGAUCCCUGGGUGGCGCAGCGGUUUGGCGCCUGCCUUUGGCCCAGGGCGCGAUCCUGGAGACCCGGGAUCGAAUCCCACGUAGGGCUCCCGGUGCAUGGAGCCUGCUUCUCCCUCUGCCUGUGUCUCUGCCUCAUUCUCUCUCUCUCUCUGUGACUAUCACAAAUAAAUAAAAAUUAAAAAAAAAAAAAAAAGACAAGAAAUGGAGAUUCAAGAUGUGUGAAACUGGAGUCCCCAGGGUAGGGACUGAAAUAAAGAGACAGAACUGAUAACUUAAGACUAAAAUUCAAGAAAAAUCUCCUGGAGUAGAUUCCUUUCUACUGAAGGGGAGUAACAUUUACUUGGGGUAGUUGAUAAAAAAGUGAUCAACCCCUUCCAUGAUGGGGCAGUGAUUUUUUUUUUUUAAGUCGAAACACAUACUUUUGAAUGAAGCACUGUCCCUAUUUUAGAAGACUCGGAGCCUAUUUGCUUCCUUUAUGCACAAAUACUGACAUUUGAUAUGAAAUUACCAGAGACAUGCAAAAAUGUGACUCAGACAAAAAAAUAACCCAUUGAAGCAGAUGCCAUGUUCAACCAAAUAUUGGGGUUAGUGGACACAAACUUUAAAAUCGCUAUUAUUAAUAUGUUAAAGAAAUUAGAAGAAGUGCAAAAUUUUGAUGUAACGUGUUGGCUAAGCUGUAGGAUAUUGGGCAUUGUCACAUGUUGUGGAUGGAAGUGCAAAAUGAGAUAACCCCUGCUGAGAGGAAUCUUGCAACGUGCAAAACUACAGAAGCAUUACUGCUUUAACUUUAAAUAUUUAUCUAACAGAUAUACCUGCACACAUGUUUAAAACUGACAUACGUACAAGGAUACUAAGUGCUGCAUUUGUCACAUCAAACGAGCAACUCAAAACUCCAUUAAUAGGGGACAUGUUAAAUUAUGUUACAUUGGUGUGCCUGGGUAGCUCAGUGGUUGAGCAUCUGCCUUUGGCUCAGGUCAUGAUCCUAGAGUUCUGGGGCGGAGUCCUGCAUCAGGCUCCCUGCAGGGAGCCUCCUCCCUCUGCCUGUGUCUCUCAUGAAUAAAUAAAUAAAAUCUUUAAAAAAAUUAUGUUACAUCCACCCUAACUUAAGAAAAAAAAGUGAAAAAAAAAAAGAAAAAA
rnacentral:lncRNA from 1 species